AGAAGGACCAAGAAGGGCCAAGAAGGGCCAAGAAGGGCCAAGAAGGGCCAAGAAGGGCCAAGAAGGGCCAAGAAGGGCCAAGAAGGGCCAAGAAGGGCCAAGAAGGGCCAAGAAGGACCAAGAGGAGGCUCGGGAGAAGGUGAGGAACCAAGAGGAGGCUCAGGAGAUGGAGAAGGACCAAGAGGAGGCUCAGGAGAAGAUGGAGGACCAAGAAGGACCAAGAGGAGGCUCAGGAGAAGACCGAGGAGGCCACCAACGAGGAAGAUACAAUAAGGAGGCCACCAAUGAGGAAGAUACAAUGAGGAGGACGGGAA
rnacentral:lncRNA from 1 species